UACGUAGGGGGCAAGCGUUGUCCGGAAUCAUUGGGCGUAAAGCGCGUGUAGGCGGCCCGAUAAGUCCGCUGUGAAAGUCCAGGGCUCAACCCUGGGACGCCGGUGGAUACUGUCGGGCUCGAGUCCGGAAGAGGAGUGUGGAAUUCCUGGUGUAGCGGUGAAAUGCGCAGAUAUCAGGAGGAACACCAAUGGCGAAGGCAGCACUCUGGGACGUGACUGACGCUGAGACGCGAAAGCGUGGGGAGCAAACAGG
rnacentral:rRNA from 1 species